rnacentral:rRNA from 1 species
AUUGAACGCUGGCGGCAGGCCUAACACAUGCAAGUCGAGCGAGCGGCGGACGGGUGAGUAAUGUCUGGGAAACUGCCUGAUGGAGGGGGAUAACUCCUGGAAACGGUAGCUAAUACAGCAUACUGAAGGAGGGGAUUGCGUCGGAUUAGCUAGUUGGAGGGGUAACGGCCCACCAGGGCGAUGAUCAGUAGCCGGUCUGAGAGUAUGAACGGCCACAUUGGAACUGAGACACGUCCCAGACUCCUACGGGAGGCAGCAGUGGGGAAUCUUCCGCAAUGGACGAAAGCCUGAUGCAGCCAUGCCGCGUGUGUGAAGAAGGCCUUCGGGUUGUAAAGCACUUUCAGCGGGGAGCGUUACCCGCAGAAGAAGCACCGGCUAACUCCGUGCCAGCAGCCGCGGUAAUAC